UCAGGGAUCCUGGAGACAGCCGGCGUCCCCCUGGUGUCAGCGAACUGGCCGCAGCCCAGCCCCCCACCGGCCGUGCCAGCUGGGCCGCAGAUGGACCACAUGGGGAACAGCUCCCAGGGGGCCCCCUGGCUCUUCCUCACCUCCGCACUGGCCCGAGGCGUCUCGGGGAUCUUCGUGUGGACUGCCCUGGUGCUCACCUGCCACCAGAUCUAUCUGCACCUGCGCUCCUACACCGUGCCACAGGAGCAACGUUACAUCAUCCGCCUGCUCCUCAUCGUGCCCAUCUACGCCUUCGACUCCUGGCUCAGCCUCCUCCUCCUGGGAGACCACCAGUACUACGUCUACUUCGACUCCGUGCGGGACUGCUACGAAGCCUUUGUCAUUUACAGCUUCCUGAGCCUGUGUUUCCAGUACCUGGGAGGCGAGGGCGCCAUCAUGGCUGAGAUUCGUGGAAAGCCCAUCAAGUCCAGCUGCUUGUACGGCACCUGCUGCCUCCGGGGCAUGACCUACUCCAUCGGGUUCCUGCGCUUCUGUAAGCAGGCCACUCUGCAGUUCUGCCUGGUGAAGCCCGUCAUGGCCGUCACCACCAUCAUCCUCCAGGCAUUUGGCAAAUACCACGACGGGGACUUCAAGUAAGGCGGGAGCUGCGGGGACACCUGGCAUGAGGUGGGCACUGGGUCCCCUGGGGCCCGGGACUGGGGCCCAACGAGGCGGACUUGGCGUCCAGCUGGGCUCAAGUAAGGUGGGAGAUGCGGGGGCCCCUGGCAUGAGGUGGGCACUGGGUCCCCUCGGGCCCAGCGGUGGGGCCCAACAAGGCAGGCUUGGCGUCCAGCUGGGCUAGGGGCCCCGCCCAAGACAGGUACCCACUUCUCCACAAGGACCUCGGUGCCUGCCAAGGCCGGGGGCCUGGACCUCCCCUCAUAGGACACGGCCGGGGUGAGUCUAGCGUCUGUGCCAACAUCUGUGCCGAGGACCCCAGGGCUUCUGGCCAGGCAGUGAUGGCCC
rnacentral:sRNA from 1 species